rnacentral:tRNA from 9 species
GGGCGCUUAGCUCAGCUGGGAGAGCGUCUGCCUUACAAGCAGAAUGUCAGCAGUUCGAUCCUGUUAGCGCCCACCA